rnacentral:rRNA from 1 species
AUUGAACGCUGGCGGCGUGCUUAACACAUGCAAGUCGAGCGGCAGCGCGGGAGCAAUCCUGGCGGCGAGCGGCGAACGGGUGAGUAAUGCUUCGGAAUCUGCCCAGUAGUGGGGAAUAACCAGUCGAAAGAUUGGCUAAUACCGCAUACGACCUGAGGGUGAAAGCGGGGGAUCGCAAGACCUCGCGCGAUUGGAUGAGCCGAAGUCGGAUUAGCUAGUUGGUGGGGUAACGGCACAACAAGGCGACGAUCCGUAGCUGGUCUGAGAGGACGAACCGCCAUACUGGGUCUGGAACACGGCCGAGCCUCCGACGGGAGGCAGCAGUGGGAAAUAUUGGACAAUGGGGGCAACCCUGAUCCAGCGACGCCGCGUGGGUGAAGAAGGCCUGCGGGUUGUAAAGCACUUUUAGUGGGGAGGAAAUGCUCAGACCUAACACGUCUGGGAACUGACUUAACCCAAAGAAAAAGCACCGGCUAACUCUGUGCCAGCCGCCGCCGUAAUAC